rnacentral:tRNA from 1 species
AGAUCUGUAGCUCAAUUGGUAGAGCAGCGGCCUCCAAAGCCGAAGGUUGGGGGUUCAAGUCCCUCCAGAUCUGCCA